GAGGGUGUGGCUUAGUGGUAGAGCUCCUGCUCUGCACGUAGAAGGUCCCAGGUUCAAUCCCUGGCAUCUUUA